CCUACGGGCGGCAGCAGUGAGGAAUAUUGGUCAAUGGGCUUACGCCUGAACCAGCCAAGUCGCGUGAGGGAAGACUGCCCUAUGGGUUGUAAACCUCUUUUGUCAGGGAGCAACGCCGGCUACGUGUAGCCGGACUGAGAGUACCUGAAGAAAAAGCAGCGGCUAACUCCGUGCCAGCAGCCGCGGUAAUACGGGGGAUGCGAGCGUUAUCCGGAUUUAUUGGGUUUAAAGGGUGCGUAGGCGGAAUGCCAAGUCAGCGGUAAAAUCGCGGGGCUAACCCUCGCUCCGCCGUUGAAACUGGCGUGCUUGAGUGGGCGAGAAGUAUGCGGAAUGCGUGGUGUAGCGGUGAAAUGCAUAGAUAUCACGCAGAACUCCGAUUGCGAAGGCAGCAUACCGGCGCCCAACUGACGCUGAAGCACGAAAGCGUGGGUAUCGAACAGGAUUAGAUACCCCAGUAGUC
rnacentral:rRNA from 1 species